CUACGGGCCGCAGCAGUGGGGAAUAUUGGACAAUGGGGGAAACCCUGAUCCAGCAAUGCCGCGUGUGUGAAGAAGGCCUGCGGGUUGUAAAGCACUUUCGGUUGGGAGGACUGCUUCUAGCACUAAUAUUGUUGGAAGUUGACGUUACCUUCAGAAGAAGCACCGGCUAACUCCGUGCCAGCAGCCGCGGUAAUACGGAGGGUGCAGGCGUUAAUCGGAAUUACUGGGCGUAAAGCGCGCGUAGGCGGCUAGAUCAGUCGGGUGUGAAAGCCCCGGGCUUAACCUGGGAACUGCAUCCGAUACUGUCUAUCUUGAGUACAGGAGAGGAGAGUGGAAUUCCACAUGUAGCGGUGAAAUGCGUAGAUAUGUGGAGGAACACCAAUGGCGAAGGCAGCUCUCUGGCCUGAUACUGACGCUGAGGUGCGAAAGCGUGGGGAGCAAACAGGAUUAGAUACCCCGGUAGUC
rnacentral:rRNA from 1 species